rnacentral:rRNA from 1 species
UAGGGAAUAUUGGGCAAUGGCCGAGAGGCUGACCCAGCCACGCCGCGUGCAGGAAGAAGGCCUUCUGGGUUGUAAACUGCUUUUAUCAGGGAAGAAAACGCUCCUGCGGGGGUAACUGACGGUACCUGAUGAAUAAGCACCGGCUAACUCCGUGCCAGCAGCCGCGGUAAUACGGAGGGUGCAAGCGUUGUCCGGAUUUAUUGGGUUUAAAGGGUGCGUAGGCGGCCCGUUAAGUCAGCGGUGAAAUCCCACGGCUCAACCGUGGAACUGCCGUUGAUACUGGCGGGCUUGAGUUCGGUCGAGGCGGGCGGAACUGGUGGUGUAGCGGUGAAAUGCUUAGAUACCACCAAGAACCCCGAUUGCGUAGGCAGCUCGCUGGGCCGAAACUGACGCUGAGGCACGAAAGCGUGGGGAGCGAACAGG